ACUCAUGACCAUGAGAUCAAGACCUGAGCUGAGGUCGAGUCAGUUGCUCAAUCAGCUGAGCCACCCAAGCAGCCCGAGAUGAAACAUGUUUUAAGGAAUGUAGAAGCAUCCUUCUUAGCAAUUGGCAUAUUUCCAGCUUAGCUGCUGACGGCAUAAGACUAGAACUAUGCUAAAUGCCUUUAUGCAUUGUAUUCACUGGAUCCUUCAUAACACCCUGCAAGUAUCAUUAG